rnacentral:rRNA from 1 species
CAAGUCGAACGGCAGCACAGUAAGAGCUUGCUCUUAUGGGUGGCGAGUGGCGGACGGGUGAGGAAUACAUCGGAAUCUACCUUUUCGUGGGGGAUAACGUAGGGAAACUUACGCUAAUACCGCAUACGACCUUCGGGUGAAAGCAGGGGACCUUCGGGCCUUGCGCGGAUAGAUGAGCCGAUGUCGGAUUAGCUAGUUGGCGGGGUAAAGGCCCACCAAGGCGACGAUCCGUAGCUGGUCUGAGAGGAUGAUCAGCCACACUGGAACUGAGACACGGUCCAGACUCCUACGGGAGGCAGCAGUGGGGAAUAUUGGACAAUGGGCGCAAGCCUGAUCCAGCCAUACCGCGUGGGUGAAGAAGGCCUUCGGGUUGUAAAGCCCUUUUGUUGGGAAAGAAAAGCAGCCAGUUAAUACCUGGUUGUUCUGACGGUACCCAAAGAAUAAGCACCGGCUAACUUCGUGCCAGCAGCCGCGGUAAUACGAAGGGUGCAAGCGUUACUCGGAAUUACUGGGCGUAAAGCGUGCGUAGGUGGUUGUUUAAGUCUGUUGUGAAAGCCCUGGGCUCAACCUGGGAAUUGCAGUGGAUACUGGGCGACUAGAGUGUGGUAGAGGGUUAGUGGAAUUCCUGGUGUAGCAGUGAAAUGCGUAGAGAUCAGGAGGAACAUCCAUGGCGAAGGCAGCUACCUGGACCAACACUGACACUGAGGCACG